rnacentral:lncRNA from 1 species
AUGUUGGUUCCUUUUCUGUUUACACUUUUCCGCUAUUCCAUGACUGCUUACAAUGGAGGGAAUGCAGUCUCAGUUUGGACGCAUGUGAAGCCAGGGACCAUGUUGUGUCUUUGUCUCAGGGCCACCCUUGAUGGUGGCUGCUUUUGGCUGCCCCCUGGUGGCUGUGCUCGGCCUCAGCUGUCUUCCCUGCCUUAUGUGCCCUGCCAGCUACUUGGCAGUGGAGAGUCAGAAGGGCCAGAGAGUAUCAUGGAAUCAAACAUUGAAGCAUUGCUGCCACAGUCUUUUUCCCCUUUCUCAAGGCUGACAAAGAGGACGUCUGCUUCUGAACAGCUCCAGGUGUGCCUUUUGGAAGCUUCCUUCCCCAGGGAUCCCUCACUCAGAGCUCUGAUGAGGAGCAAGUGUGUGAGGGCUCAGGCAGACUCCUCAGUCAGAAGUCCUCUCUGGGAUGUAGGAUGCUGUGCUGUCCUUCUCAUGGUCCUUGGGGUCUCCUGAAGUUUUAGACUGUUCCUAAGGCUCCACCCCUUGUUUGCUUUUUUUUUUUUUUUGUCUUUUUGCCAUUUCUUGGGCCGCUCCUGUGACAUAUAGAAGUUCCCAGGCUAUAUGGAGUCGAAUCAGAGCUGUAGCCACUGGCCUGCACCACAGCCACAGCAACACGGGAUCCAAGCCACAUCUGCAACAACACCACAGCUCACAGCAACGCUGGAUCCUUAACCCACCGAGCAAGGCCAGGGAUCAACCCACAACCUCAUGGUUCCUAGUUGGAUUCGUUAACCACUGAGCCACAAUGGGAACUCUGGCUCCAUCCCUUGGUGAGUGAAAUCUCUUGAAAGGUGUUGUAGACUUUCUUAGGUUGGUAGGGUUGUGGAUUGCUGGGCAUCUUGCUAAGUGUUAGAGCUGUGAGGAGCUGCUGCAGGCAGAAAGGGGUGUUGUCAUAGUCUUCACAGCUGGUGAUGGAGCUGAGGAGGAGAGGAUGCAUUCGAAGACAGGCAGUGGGGCUGAGCAAUUUUUUAAAACUUGAAAUAUAUUUGUGAUAUAACUUUUUAUUGAAAUUUAAUUGAUUUGCAGCAUAGUUUAGUUUCAGGUGUAAGCACAGUGAUUAGUUAUUUGUGGGUGUGUGUGUAUGCGUAUGUAUAUAUCUAUAUAUAGAUUUUUCUUUAUAGGUUAUUACAAAAUAUGCUAUAUAGUUCCUUGUGCUAUACAGCAGGUCUUCAGUUUUAGAUUCCACAUAGAAGCGAUAUCGUAUGAUUUGACAUAGUGUAUUAGUUUCAGGUGCAUUACACUGGGAUCUGACAUGUGCAUACAUUCAGGGCUGAGUGACUGGAUAGAGAGAUGGGAGAAUUCUGUCAUGACUAGCAGGUGCCUAGAUGUGGGCGUGGCCAAUGACUAAACUAGGAAAAGCAGAAGGGGGAAGCAGGGCUGUGUCUAUGUGUGUGUGUGUAUGUGUGUGUGUGUGUGUGUGUUUCACACUUGUUUAAACUGCAAUCAUGGUAGAAAAUCACUGUGCAUCCCUAUCCAGGAGCUACAUCUAUGCACCCGUGUCUGUAAAUGGUAGAGGCAUACACAUGAUGCUUGCUAAGGGCAGGCCCUAGUCUGCAUGUCCCUACCAUAUUUCCUCAUUAAUCCUCACAACCCCAUGCGGUGUCACUACUUUCUCUCCCUUUCAAAUGAGGAAAUUCUGGCCCAGGGAAUUCGUGACUUUCCCAAGGCCUCACAGCAAACAAGUGGUGGAGCUGGGAUUCGAACCCUAUCUCCCCAGGCCCAGAGUGCCUGCUUUCUAACACCCCACUGUUCACCAUCAUGGGAAAAAUCAGUGCAUCACAAAAUAAUACUUAUCCUCAUUCCAUGGGAUGCUUUCUAUUUGCUAUUUCUAUUUUAUCCCCAACUGCUGGUCACAAUCACACCACAUUGAUUUCUUUUCUUUUCUUUUUUUUUUUUUGUCUUUUUUUGGGCCACUUCCGCAGCAUAGGGAGGUUCCCAGGCUAGGGGUCGAAUCGGAGCUGUAGCCACUGGCCUACGCCCAAGCCCCAGCAACUCGGGAUCCAAGCCGCGUCUGCAACCUACACCAGGGCUCACGGCUACGCCGGAUCCUUAACCCACUGGGCAAGGCCAGGGAUCGAACCCACAACCUCAUGAUUCCUAGUCAGAUACGUUAACCACUGAGCCACGAUGGGAACUCCCCAUCAUUUCUUUCUUUAUGUCUUCUCAGCUCAAACUUUAUCCACUGAAUUACAAACUUGAAGAGCUUGCUGUUUUUCUCAACACUCGCCACAAAAUUGUAAUUAUGUUACCUCCUGGGUAAUUACUUGCUUCCUGUUUUCCAACUGGAGUGAGUUCAGACACCACCUCAAACUUGCUCAUUAUGGGUUUUCCAUCACAAAACACCACCAACUCACUAAAAGGAAGGGCCUGGAACAAAUUAUACUCUUAAUUGUUGUUGAAUGACUGAAUGAAUGGAGUGCACUCAAGCUUCACGCUUUCUUUUUCAUGCUUUCAGGUCCAUGACACACACCUCCGCUCACCACGCACCCCCUGCACCCCGCCCCCAGCCUUCACUACACUCCUGAUUGCUGAUUGUAGACUCCCUCAGCAAAGCCAAGAGCUCUGAAGAAUACAGGCUCUGCACGCAAACAUGUGGCCCUGGACAGAUCAUUUCCCCCCUUAACUAGCCUGAGUUUCAGGAGCAGGAGGGGAUCAGGACAAGUCCCAGAGGAAUGUUAACUUAUAAAACAGAAAGCACCUGCGCUUCUCCUCCUAACACAUCAAGGCUGCAGUUACUACUUGUUUCGAAUAUGUUUCCAGACCAAGUCCACGUCUACCUUGUUCAGUGCCUUAGCUCAGUCAAACAUCCCCAGGCUUGUACUGUGCCAGGCACACAACCAAAAUUAGAUAUUAUUAGUUAAGUACAUG